rnacentral:rRNA from 1 species
UACAGAGGUGGCAAGCGUUGUUCGGAAUUACUGGGCGUAAAGGGCGCGUAGGCGGCCUUCUAAGUCUUGUGUGAAAUCCCUCGGCUCAACUGAGGAACUGCACGGGAUACUGGAUGGCUUGAGUUCGGGAGAGGGAAGCGGAAUUCCGGGUGUAGCGGUGAAAUGCGUAGAUAUCCGGAGGAAGACCGGUGGCGAAGGCGGCCUGCUGGGCAGUUACUGACACUGAGGCGCGACAGCGUGGGGAGCAAACAGG